rnacentral:rRNA from 1 species
UACGGAGGGUGCAAACGUUGCUCGGAAUUAUUGGGCGUAAAGCGCACGUAGGCGGUCCAGCAAGUCGGGUGUGAAAGCCCUCGGCUUAACCGAGGAAGUGCAUUCGAAACUACUGGACUUGAAUACCGGAGAGGAUCGCGGAAUUCCCGGUGUAGAGGUGAAAUUCGUAGAUAUCGGGAGGAACACCAGUGGCGAAGGCGGCGAUCUGGACGGAUAUUGACGCUGAGGUGCGAAAGCGUGGGGAGCAAACAGG